rnacentral:tRNA from 1 species
GCUUUCGUGGUGUAGUGGUGAGCACGCUGGGCUCAUAUUCGAGAGGUCCGUGGUUCGAGUCCCGGUUUAAGGCG